AUUGAACGCUGGCGGCAGGCCUAACACAUGCAAGUCGAACGAGUGGCGGACGGGUGAGUAAUGUCUGGGACACUGCCUGAUGGAUGGGGCUCACUACUGGACACGGUAGCUAAUACCGCCUACCAUCGGAUAUGCCCAGAUGGGAUUAGCUAGUGGGUGGGGUAAAGGCUCACCUAGGCGACGAUCCCUAGCUGGUCUGAGAGGAUGACCAGCCACACUGGAACUGAGACACGGUCCAGACUCCUACGGGAGGCAGCAGUGGGGAAUAUUGGACAAUGGGCGAAAGCCUGAUGCAGCCAUGCCGCGUGUAUGAAGAAGGCCUUCGGGUUGUAAAGUACUUUCAGCUGGGAGGCGUUACCCGCAGAAGAAGCACCGGCUAACUCCGUGCCAGCAGCCGCGGUAAUUC
rnacentral:rRNA from 1 species